rnacentral:rRNA from 1 species
GACGUAGGGGGCCAGCGUUGCUCGGAAUUACUGGGCGUAAAGGGUUCGUAGGCGGUGUGGCAAGUCGGAAGUGAAAUCUCUAGGCUCAACCUAGAGGCUGCUCCCGAAACUGCCAUGCUAGAGUGCGGGAGAGGCGAGUGGAAUUACAGGUGUAGCGGUGAAAUGCGCAGAUAUCAGGAGGAACACCGGUGGCGAAGGCGGGUCUCUGGGCCGAUACUGACGCUGAGGAGCGAAAGCGUGGGGAGCGAACAGG